UCGGUUAGCGCGUCAGUCUCAUAAUCUGAAGGUCGUGAGUUCGAGUCUCACCUGGGGCA
rnacentral:tRNA from 1 species